rnacentral:lncRNA from 1 species
AUGCGACGCCCGGUCCCCUGGGCUUCCCUGGGAGGGGCGGGCGCCCAGGGAUGCCGGAAGCCCCGGGUUUCCCAUGACUUGAUCUGGAAGGAGCCUGGGCCUCCGUCCCCACGGGGCUCUGGCCUGUGGCCCGGGCUCUGGGCGGGGGGCUGGGCGGGAGCUGCCCCUGCUCCUGUCCUCCCUUGGGUCCCCUUGGAGGCCUGGCUGCCGGAGCCCAGCUGCUUGCCUGGAGCCUGGCCCCACAGAGGGGGCUCCAGCACCUGGGGGGGGGGGACAGUGCGCCCGGGGCUGGGGCCGGCCCUUGCAUUCGGCUUCAGCUCCGCCUCCCCUGCCGGCCGGCCCAGCUCCCCGUGCCUUGGCUUCCUUGUCUGUAAAAUGGACUUAGGACAGUCCUCACCUUCCAGAGCACAGUGGGAGCAGCCGUGCGUGGGCCGCGAGGUGCGCAGCGGAGGCCCGCCACCAACCUGGGAGGCCCGCCGGGAGGAGGCUGCGGUCCGGCCUCUUCGAAAGGGCCUGCCUCCGGCCCCAGGGGCUGUGGUGACAGUGCUGAGCCUCCCCUGGAGGAGUGUCGCCCUCCCUAGGGGGCGGGGGCUGCAGCCUGGCUGGCCCUGCUCUGGGCCCCAGCUGAUGACUGAGUCGCCGACUUCUGCUGAUCCGUGGGAAGCAGAGAGGACGGGGAGCGGGGAGUGGUUUCUCUUCCCAGCCUCUGCUCCGGGGGAGCUCUGGACGCCAGGGGGGGGGUUGGAGGCGCUGGGUCCUGGCGGGGCUCCGGGGCCAGGCCACCUGCCCCUCUCACCCGUUUCACACCUCGUCACUGUUCGUCCGGACACCUGUCCGCAGCCCGGACCCCGGGGCCCCGCUGACAACGGAGAAGCUCGAGGCCUGCGGCCCGGGAACCCCUGGGCGGGCGCUCCUGGCAGCGGCUCCCAGGACGCGGGCUUCAAGGUCAGGCUGACGCUGGCCGACCUUGAGAGCCCCCCAGCUCUCGGCAGGCUCAGCGAGCUCCAUCCCAUUAAGAAGCCGUUAGGAGCGCCAUCUGGUUCACUGCGCCCCGCUCCGCGAUCGAUGGCCGCUGGGCCAGUCUGA